UUUUUUUCGGAAAAUAAGUAAACUGGCGAACGGGUGAGUAACACGUAGGCAACCUACCUUAGAGAUUGGGAUAACUCCGGGAAACCGGGGCUAAUACCGAAUAAUGCAGCGGAUCCUUCGGGAUAUGUUGUUAAAGCGGGCCUUGGCUCGUACUUUAAGAUGGGCCUGCGUCCGAUUAGCUUGUUGGUGAGGUAAUGGCUCACCAAGGCGAUGAUCGGUAGCUGGUCUGAGAGGAUGAUCAGCCACACUGGGAUUGAGAUACGGCCCAGACUCCUACGGGAGGCAGCAGUAAGGAAUUUUGCGCAAUGGACGAAAGUCUGACGCAGCAACGCCGCGUGAUCGAUGACGCUUCUAGGAGUGUAAAGAUCUGUCGUGAGGGAAGAAAAACUUGGAUGUAAAUAAUGUUCAAAUUUGACGGUACCUUACAAGAAAGCACCGGCUAACUUCGUGCCAGCAGCCGCGGUAAUACGAGGGGUGCUAGCGUUGUCCGGAAUUACUGGGCGUAAAGGGUCCGUAGGCGUUUUGCCAAGUUGAUCGUUAAAUCCACCGGCUCAACCGGUGACCUGCGAUCAAAACUGGCAGAAUAGAAUAUGUGAGAGGAAUGUGGAAUUCCUGGUGUAGCGGUGACAUGCGUAGAUAUCAGGAGGAA
rnacentral:rRNA from 1 species